UGGAGGAGAGUACUGUAGUGGAUGUCUCUGUCCGUGAACCAAAGACGGAGAGUACUGUCGAUGAAGUCUAUGUCCGUGACCUGGAGAAUAUGAAUUUGGGGCCAGAUGUUCAUAUGCAUAUACACUUCUUCCUAACCCACCAUGUGGAAGUGGAACCAUAUAUUCCGGGGAUCUUCUUGAGCGAUGAGGAAAAGA